rnacentral:misc_RNA from 1 species
AACUUUCAGCAAUGGAUCUCUUGGCUCUGGCAUCGAUGAAGAACGCAGCGAAAUGCGAUAAGUAAUGUGAAUUGCAGAACUCAGUGAAUCAUCGAAUCUUUGAACGCACAUUGCGCCCUCUGGUAUUCCGGAGGGCAUGCCUGUUCGAGCGUCAUUACAACCCUCAAGCUCUGCUUGGUAUUGGGCUUCACCAGUAAUGGUGUGCCUUAAAAUCAGUGGCGGUGCCAUCUGGCUCUAAGCGUAGUAAUUUUCUCGCUAUAGAUGUCUUGUGGAUACUUGCCAGCAACCCCUAAUUUUUUAAGGUUGACCUCGGAUCAGGUAGGGAUACCCGCUGAACUUAAGCAUAUCAAUAAGCGGAGGCU